rnacentral:rRNA from 1 species
UACGUAGGGGGCAAGCGUUGUCCGGAUUUACUGGGCGUAAAGAGCGCGUAGGCGGAAGCUUAAGUGUGGCCUGAAAGCCCCCGGCUCAACCGGGGAAGGUGGCUGCAAACUGGGCUUCUUGAGGGGGAUAGGGGAAAGUGGAAUUCCGGGUGUAGCGGUGAAAUGCGUAGAUAUCAGGAGGAACACCGAUGGCGAAGGCAGGUCUCUGGGCUGACACUGACGCUCAUGCACGAAAGCGUGGGGAGCAAACAGG